GACGAACGCUGGCGGCGUGCUUAACACAUGCAAGUCGAACGGUUCUGCCCUGUUCUUUCCGGGGUUGGUCAGUGGCGAACGGGUGAGUAACACGUGAGUAACCUGCCCCUCACUUCUGGAUAACCGCUUGAAAGGGUGGCUAAAUCGGGGUGUUCUGGCUGUGCCGCAUGGUGUGGCUGGGAAAGAUUCACUUUUGUGACGAUAUGGUGGGGGAGCGGCGUGUGGCUUAUCAGCUUGUUGGUGGGGUGAUGGCCUGCCAGGGCCUUGACGGGUAUCCGGGGUGGGAGGGUGGGCAGUCACAGUGGGAGUGAGGGACGGCACAGAUACGUGCGGGAGGCGGCAGUGAGGGGUAGUGAAGAAUGGACGGAUGCCUGAUGAAGGGAGGGCGCGUGAGGGAUGUAGGCCGUCGGGAUGUGAACUUCUUUCGCCGGUGAAGAAGGUGCUGCUCUUAGUGGUGGGGUGGGCGGUAGGCGGGUUAUGAAGCGCCGGCUAACUACGUG
rnacentral:rRNA from 1 species